rnacentral:lncRNA from 1 species
UGUAAUGGCACCCUAAUGUUUCCCUGUCAGCCUCCCCAUAGAGGACUAUCAUGACGACUAUUCUGAGCAGGGCUGCUAGUGUUGAUUCAAACCUGGUAGUGUUGAUUCAGAGCUGGUAGUGUGUUGAUUCAGAGGAGGUAGUGUGUUGAUUCAGAGGAGGUAGUGUGUUGAUUCAGAGGAGGUAGUGUGCUGAUUCAGAGGAGGUGGUGUGUUGAUUCAGAGGAGGUGGUGUGUUGAUUCAGAGGAGGUGGUGUGCUGAUUCAGAGGAGGUGGUGUGCUGAUUCAGAGGAGGUGGUGUGCUGAUUCAGAGGAGGUGGUGUGCUGAUUCAGAGGAGGUGGUGUGCUGAUUCAGAGGAGGUGGUGUGCUGAUUCAGAGGAGGUGGUGUGCUGAUUCAGAGGAGGGCUGUAUAUUCAUGUCAUAACAGGUUCUGCUAACAGCUAGCAGGGUUGAGUCAUUCCCAUUGAAACACAUUAUGAGUUGUUUGGACCUGGCUGGCUAAAUGACUGACAGAACAAGACAGAGAGAGGGACAGGCAGAG